rnacentral:rRNA from 1 species
UACAGAGGUGGCAAGCGUUGUUCGGAAUUACUGGGCGUAAAGGGCGCGUAGGCGGCUUGGUCAGUCCCGUGUGAAAUCCCUCGGCUCAACUGAGGAACUGCACGGGAAACUGCCUGGCUUGAGUUCGGGAGAGGGAAGCGGAAUUCCGGGUGUAGCGGUGAAAUGCGUAGAUAUCCGGAGGAACACCUGAGGUGAAGACGGGUUGCUGGGCUGACACUGACGCUGAGGCGCGAAAGCCAGGGGAGCAAACGGG